rnacentral:rRNA from 1 species
GACGAACGCUGGCGGCGUGCUUAACACAUGCAAGUCGAACGGAAAGGCCCUGCUUUUGUGGGGUGCUCGAGUGGCGAACGGGUGAGUAACACGUGAGUAACCUGCCCUUGACUUUGGGAUAACUUCAGGAAACUGGGGCUAAUACCGGAUAGGAGCUCCUGCUGCAUGGUGGGGGUUGGAAAGUUUCGGCGGUUGGGGAUGGACUCGCGGCUUAUCAGCUUGUUGGUGGGGUAGUGGCUUACCAAGGCUUUGACGGAUAGCCGGCCUGAGAGGGUGACCGGCCACAUUGGGACUGCGAUACGGCCCAGACUCCUACGGGAGGCAGCAGUGGGGAAUAUUGCACAAUGGGCGGAAGCCUGAUGCAGCAACGCCGCGUGCGGGAUGACGGCCUUCGGGUUGUAAACCGCUUUCGCCUGUGACGAAGCGUGAGUGACGGUAAUGGGUAAAGAAGCACCGGCUAACUACGUG